rnacentral:rRNA from 1 species
CUACGGGGCGCUCCAGUAAGGAAUAUUGCACAAUGGGGGGAACCCUGAUGCAGCAACGCCGCGUGGAGGGUGACGCAUUUCGGUGUGUAAACUCCUUUUAUAUGUCAAGAAAAUGACGGUAGCAUAUGAAUAAGCACCGGCUAACUCCGUGCCAGCAGCCGCGGUAAUACGGAGGGUGCAAGCGUUACUCGGAAUCACUGGGCGUAAAGGACGCGUAGGCGGGUUGGAAAGUCAGGUGUGAAAUCCUACAGCUUAACUGUAGAACUGCACUUGAAACUUCUAAUCUAGAGUAUGGGAGGGGGAGAUGGAGUUAGUGGUGUAGGGGUAAAAUCCGUAGAUAUCACUAGGAAUACCUAAAGCGAAGGCGAUCUCCUGGAACAUUACUGACGCUAAGGCGUGAAAGCGUGGGGAGCAAACAGGAUUAGAUACCCCCGUAGUC